rnacentral:rRNA from 1 species
UACGGAGGGGACUAGCGUUGUUCGGAAUUACUGGGCGUAAAGUGCACGUAGGCGGAUUUGUAAGUCAGGGGUGAAAUCCCGGGGCUCAACCUCGGAACUGCCUUUGAUACUGCAAAUCUCGAGUCCGGAAGAGGUGAGUGGAAUUCCUAGUGUAGAGGUGAAAUUCGUAGAUAUUAGGAAGAACACCAGUGGCGAAGGCGGCUCACUGGUCCGGUACUGACGCUGAGGUGCGAAAGCGUGGGGAGCAAACAGG